AUUCCAGCUCCAGUAGCGAAUACUAACGUUGUUGCAGUUGAAAAGCUCGUAGUUGAAUUUCUGGUAUGACUGGCCCGGCCUUUGGAUGAAUGUCCACUGUUCGCUGUGUGUCAAGUUAGGCCAUCCUCCCUUUCAUUUUGGAAGGGUCUUUCACUGUAAAAAAAUUAGGGUGUUUCAAGCAAAUGUUCGUUGGAAUAUAUUAGUAUGGGAUGAUAGAAUAGGCUCUUGUUGCUAUUUUGUUGGUUUGCACAGCAGGAGAAUGAUUAACAGGGACAGUUGGGGGUAUUCAUAUUUACAUGUCAGAGGUGAAAUUCUUGGAUUUUGGAAAGAUGAACGACUGCGAAGGCAUUUACCAAGGAUGUUUUCAUCA
rnacentral:rRNA from 1 species